AUCAGGUAGGAAUACCCGCUGAACUUAAGCAUAUCAAUAAGCGGAGGAGAAGAAAGUAACAACGAUUCCCCUAGUAACGGCGAGUGAAGAGGGAUGAGCUCAAGCCCUAAAUCUGGACUUUGUAAAAGUUCCGAAUUGUAGUCUGAAGGUUUUCACCAAUGGGCGACUCGAGGUCCAAGUCCCUUGGAAAAGGGUGCCAGAGAGGGUGAGAGUCCCGUAUGGCCAUCGAGUCGCUUUCCGGUGGAUUCCGGAGAGUCGGGUUGCUCGGGAUUGCAGCCUGAAUGGGAGGUAAAUUUCUCCUAAAGCUAAAUACUGGCGAGAGACCGAUAGCGAACAAGUACCGUGAGGGAAAGAUGAAAAGAACUUUGGAAAGAGAGUGAAACAGUACGUGAAAUUGUUGAAAGGGAAACGCUUGAAGUCAGUCGCGUCGU
rnacentral:rRNA from 1 species